rnacentral:rRNA from 1 species
AUGACAAUGAAGUGGAAGAGCCAUUUGUGGUAUGGGGAUGCAACACCAAGUUUUGGAAAUGGUGCAUGCAAGAGGAAGUAUAUUUAUAGCCGCCGUGGGUUGCUCAUGAGUCAAGAUUUGGAAACCUUCGGUUUUGAAUGGCCGAGGUUUACAAAUCCGCUGAGACAUGGGAUUGGAGACAUUUUUCUCUCUGGUGUAUAUGUACCUGCAACUUCCUUGUUCAUCCUAUGCUGCAUAAGCUGUAGUUUAUGUAAAAUAGUAUUUUGGCCUUCUGCACCUAUUUGUACUAUAUCUUAUCCGGCCUGUUUGAAGAUAUUGUUCUGUGGACUGGUGGAUUGGCAUGUCCGGUGA